rnacentral:rRNA from 1 species
CCUACGGGUGGCUGCAGUGAGGAAUAUUGGUCAAUGGACGAGAGUCUGAACCAGCCAAGUAGCGUGAAGGAUGACUGCCCUAUGGGUUGUAAACUUCUUUUAUAUGGGAAUAAAACGUUCCACGUGUGGGAUUUUGUAUGUACCCUAUGAAUAAGGAUCGGCUAACUCCGUGCCAGCAGCCGCGGUAAUACGGAGGAUCCGAGCGUUAUCCGGAUUUAUUGGGUUUAAAGGGAGCGUAGGCGGAUUGUUAAGUUAGUUGUGAAAGUUUGCGGCUCAACCGUAAAAUUGCAGUUGAAACGGGCAGUCUUGAGUACAGUAGAGGUAGGCGGAAUUCGUGGUGUAGCGGUGAAAUGCUUAGAUAUCACGAAGAACUCCGAUUGCGAAGGCAGUUCACUGGACUUCAACUGACACUGAGGCUCGAAAGUGUGGGUAUCAAACAGGAUUAGAUACCCCUGUAGUC